GAGUGGACCUGGCUGGGGGUGGGGAUCCCAGGGUCCUAGCCCCUGAGCUCAGUCUUUGGGGAAAGGGCUUGAGUUUCUGAAAGUCCAUUGAAUACAGUUUCUUAAGUGUCACAACCUUAAGAGAGGUGGCACUAUCCCCAUUUUACCUGAAAAGAAACAGGCUCAGAGAAAAAGAAACCCCCUGCCUGGAAUCUUCCGGCUAGAAUCUGAAAGCUGGUGGAUCCUAACACCCCAAACGGGACUCCCUCCUGGUUAAACUGCAGGAAACCAAAGACUGGUGGAGGUGUGGAAGGAGGCAGAGGUAAUUGAAGAAGAUGGCGCUAAAGAAACCCUGACUUCCCAGUUUCCAUCCUGACUCUACUUCUGACUUGCCUACUGCAUUACAGGGUGAAGACUGUAUAGUCUGAUUCCACUGCAAAGAACUCACUUGGAGGCAAUGUCCGGCCUGGCCCCACCAGCCUAAGACCUUAGAGAAACACGCUCCAGAAAGCUGCAGUCUUUAUUCCAAUAAAUAGAAGAGAAGAUACAACCACACACACAUACUGUCUUGCAUUUAUUCAUAAGAAGGGAUAAGAAUUGGUACAAAUAAAAAAACAUUGCUUUAAAUACAAAUAAAUAGUUAUAGUUUCUAAAGAAAACAACACUAUAAUAUAGUCCUAAGUGCUUCCUAAGUUCCUAUUAAAAAUAGAAGGCUAUUUGCAUUAAGUUCUAUUCCACCACAAUCCUUUGAGGACUUAAGUAUAAAAUGGUGAAUUCUACACUCCAAAAAGUCACCAGAAAAAUGGGAGACAAACUCCCACCUCCCUGAACUAUCUCACAAAUGGGAGGAGAGUUACUUGCAUUGUAGACACAGCUAGUAAAAGCAGAGAGUAUUUGGAUAGCUAAAGACUGACCUUGGGAAAAGUGGUAAGAAUGUCUCGGAACCAGUCCUGUGGAUUCUAAAACCUCACUAUGCUAAAGUUUUUAUUUUUUGGGUACUGGGAACUGAACUUAGGACCUCACGUUUGACAAGUAGGUGCUACACCACUGACCUAAAUCCCCAGCCCCUAUGCUUAAGUUUUGAUUCAAGUGUUUUAACUACAUUUAUACUUGCCGGAAGACUUAAAUACCUAUGAUAAAAGCUUCCUCUUGCUAGAAAUGAUAGUAAUAAAUACUGUCUAACCACCUGAGUGGCACCUGGAAUAAAUAACAAAGUGAUCUACCUACUAAAGCAGCAGUGAUGCUGCCCAGUGAAACAGUCUGUCAAAGCUUGGCACCAAAAUGACCCAUACUAUGUGGAAGAAACACUCGCCCAAAUCUGUCAGCUUAUGUACUACUCUCCACUGUUGUAUUUAGAAUGUUCAUAGUGCCAAAAAUAUGUAGGGAGAAGAAUGUCCUAUGAAUGGGAGAUCAUUUUUGCAAGGCAUGCAGAGUUUUAAAACUACAUCAGCAGUGGCGAACCUAUGGCACAUGUGCCACUCCCAGCUGU